UACGGGGGGGGCAAGCGUUGUUCGGAAUUACUGGGCGUAAAGGGCGCGUAGGCGGCCACCGCAAGUCGACUGUGAAAUCUCCGGGCUUAACCCGGAAAGGUCAGCCGAUACUGCGGGGCUAGAGUGCAGAAGGGGCAACUGGAAUUCUCGGUGUCGCGGUGAAAUGCGUAGAUAUCGAGAGGAACACCUGCGGCGAAGGCGGGUUGCUGGGCUGACACUGACGCUGAUGCGCGAAAGCUAGGGGAGCGAACGGG
rnacentral:rRNA from 1 species